AAGCUACACUCUGUGUCAGCAGUCCUUGAAGACGAUGAUCUGACUCAAUUUGAGCUUUGCUAUAGUGAGAUCCGUCUGCCUCCAAUAGAUGCUUCCCCUCAUGUGGGACUUAUGCUGGACAGACGGGAACAUU
ensembl:snoRNA